rnacentral:rRNA from 1 species
GACGAACGCUGGCGGCGUGCUUAACACAUGCAAGUCGAACGGAAAGGCCCUGCUUUUGUGGGGUGCUCGAGUGGCGAACGGGUGAGUAACACGUGAGUAACCUGCCCUUGACUUUGGGAUAACUUCAGGAAACUGGGGCUAAUACCGGAUAGGAGCUCCUGCUGCAUGGUGGGGGUUGGAAAGUUUCGGCGGUUGGGGAUGGACUCGCGGCUUAUCAGCUUGUUGGUGGGGUAGUGGCUUACCAAGGCUUUGACGGGUAGCCGGCCUGAGAGGGUGACCGGCCACAUUGGGACUGAGAUACGGCCCAGACUCCUACGGGAGGCAGCAGUGGGGAAUAUUGAACAAAGGGCGGAAGCCUGAUGCAGCAACGCCGCGUGCGGGAUGACGGCCUUCAGGUUGUAAGCCGCUUUCGCCUGUGACGAAGCGUGAGUGACGGUAAUGGGUAAAGAAGCACCGGCUAACUACGUG